rnacentral:rRNA from 1 species
UAUUGCACAAUGGGCGCAAGCCUGAUGCAGCCAUGCCGCGUGUAUGAAGAAGGCCUUCGGGUUGUAAAGUACUUUCAGCAGUGAGGAAGGUGGGUAUGUUAAUAGCAUAUUCAUUUGACGUUAGCUGCAGAAGAAGCACCGGCUAACUCCGUGCCAGCAGCCGCGGUAAUACGGAGGGUGCGAGCGUUAAUCGGAAUUACUGGGCGUAAAGCGCAUGCAGGUGGUUUGUUAAGUCAGAUGUGAAAGCCCGGGGCUCAACCUCGGAAUUGCAUUUGAAAACUGGCAAACUAGAGUACUGUAGAGGGGGUAGAAUUUCAGGUGUAGCGGUGAAAUGCGUAGAGAUCUGAAGGAAUACCGGUGGCGAAGGCGGCCCCCUGGACAGAUACUGACACUCAGAUGCGAAAGCGUGGGGAGCAAACAGGAUUAGAUACCCUGGUAG